rnacentral:rRNA from 1 species
UACGUAGGGAGCAAGCGUUGUUCGGAUUUACUGGGCGUAAAGGGCACGUAGGCGGCAAAUUAAGUCAGCUGUGAAAUCUCCGAGCUUAACUCGGAACUGUCAGCUGAUACUGAUCUGCUAGAGUGCGGAAGGGGCAAUCGGAAUUCUUGGUGUAGCGGUGAAAUGCGUAGAUAUCAAGAGGAACACCUGAGGUGAAGACGGGUUGCUGGGCCGACACUGACGCUGAGUGCGCGAAAGCCAGGGGAGCAAACGGG